CAUGGGUGCAACAAGAAAAGGAUGCAAUGUCCCUGGUUCAGUCUAGGGCAAGACAGUGUCAGGAAAGAAAUGAAGAGCUGUGGCUGCCUUCCAGGCAACCAGUUCUUUGGAGACAGACGGAUCUUCAUUAACGAUGCAUGAAGAUUAUAACUCACCCCCAAUCCCCUUUCAUCUGAACUAAACCUUUAUGGAUGAAGCAUCAUUCUUCCACUCUUUCCAGUUGCGUUUCCACCCUGGUGAUCAGACACAGAUGGCUGUAGUAGCCUUGGUGGUGGAGUCAAGGUCCUGGUGGCCAACAGGUUUUGAAAGCAAUUUGCCUGAAUGGAACCAUUUUGCUGCUGUUGAGCGGCUAGCCUGGAAAGCGACCUGGAUAACAUUCAGGGACACUCUGGUCUUAGCACAAGGAUUGUUUUGUGGAAAGAAGCAGGAAACGUGGUGUACGUCCAGUGAAUGAAGUUUCGAUUCUGACGACAAGACCUGAAGGCACCAGGCCUCAUGCAAAGAAGCCAAGGAUUCAUCUCAGGAGAUCGCUGGUUGCUAUGCAAGCGAUGCAAGAGGGUUCGAGGUCAGAGCCCAGAAAGGACAGCUACUCCUACCUUAGCUUCCAUGCUGCAUAAUGUCUGAACCCCGUCAUUUGGCUAAAGAGAAUACUUGAAGUGAAUGGAAAUGACUGAGCUUCCAGAAUGCUUAAGACAAAAGUUGUGAAUGGGAAAGCUGCACUCCUUUUCCCCUUAGAAAAUUGGGGGAGGGGAAUACCUUCUAGUCCAACUGCUCUAAAAUCCUCAGAAUAUCCUAUGAAGGAACAGCUACAGAUGGCGGCGCCUGGAGGCCGCCUUCCUGAAAUGAACAGAUCCCCCACCAGCUUUGGGAAGGGUCUUCUCCGCACAGGGUCUUCUCCUCCAAAAGCCAUUUGUUUCGCGGU